rnacentral:rRNA from 1 species
GUAGGUGGCAAGCGUUGUCCGGAAUUAUUGGGCGUAAAGCGCGCGCAGGCGGUUCUUUAAGUCUGAUGUGAAAGCCCACGGGCUCCACCGUGGAGGGUCAUUGGAAACUGGAGAACUUGAGUACAGAAGAGGAAAGCGGAAUUCCACGUGUAGCGGUGAAAUGCGUAGAGAUGUGGAGGAACACCAGUGGCGAAGGCGGCUUUCUGGUCUGUAACUGACGCUGAGGCGCGAAAGCGUGGGGAGCAAACAGGAUUAGAUACCCUGGUAGUCCACGCCGUAAACGAUGAGUGCUAAGUGUUAGGGGGUUUCCGCCCCUUAGUGCUGCAGCUAACGCAUUAAGCACUCCGCCUGGGGAGUACGGCCGCAAGGCUG